UACGUAGGGGGCAAGCGUUGCCCGGAAUUAUUGGGCGUAAAGCGCGCGUAGGCGGCCCGGUAAGUCCGUUGUAAAAGUCAAAGGCUCAACCUUUGAAAGCCGAUGGAUACUGCCGGGCUAGAGUACGGAAGAGGCGAGUAGAAUUCCUGGUGUAGCGGUGGAAUGCGCAGAUAUCAGGAGGAAUACCCAUAGCGAAGGCAGCUCGCUGGGACGUUACUGACGCUGAGGCGCGAAAGCGUGGGGAGCGAACAGG
rnacentral:rRNA from 1 species